ensembl:lncRNA
CCGGGGAGGGGUUAACACCGAGGGGAGGAGGAGGCGCCGUUCCCGGAGGCGGCUGCUCCCUGCCCCAGCAGCGGCCCCCUGCCCCUCACCGCUCCCCCGGCCCCGCCGAGCCGCGGAGCCCGCCCAGCCCCGGGGCCAUGGCUGGCUCCUGGCGGCGGCCGGAGGAAGGGAGGGCGGGAGGAAGCCGCUGCAAGGGCCGCCUCCCUCUUUCUCUCCCUCCUUCCCGUCCCGUCCCGUUCCAUCCUGUCCCGUCCCGUCCCGUCCCGAUUCGCGGCGGGGGGGCGGCUGGCGGUGGUAUGGGCAGGGAACGGGAAGCUCUGAGGAAAUGUACUGUUAUCAAUGGGUAAUGAACAAAAUCUAUCAACGUGAGGAUCUGUCCUGUGGAGGUUCACCAUUCAUACGUUGCUGUUCUCUUCUUGCAGAUACAGAGGUGAUCAUUCUUAAAACAGACGCUUUCUUCAUCGUGAUAAGUAGGUUCCCCACCACCUGGAACAUAUAUACAGGAAUGCCAAUGUUCUUUCUCUGUCCUGGUCUCGUUCAAACUUGA